ACGUAGGGUGCGAGCGUUAAUCGGAAUUACUGGGCGUAAAGCGUGCGCAGGCGGUUCGUUAAGUUCGAUGUGAAAGCCCCGGGCUCAACCUGGGAACUGCAUUGGAAACUGGCGAGCUUGAGUGUGGCAGAGGGGGGUGGAAUUCCGCGUGUAGCAGUGAAAUGCGUAGAGAUGCGGAGGAACACCGAUGGCGAAGGCAAUCCCCUGGGCCUGCACUGACGCUCAUGCACGAAAGCGUGGGGAGCAAACAGGA
rnacentral:rRNA from 1 species